AGCCCAGAGAAAUUUGGAUUAAUACCCCAUAGUAUCAUCGAUUGGCAUCCUUGAUGAUUAAAGAUUUAUCGAUAUAAGAUGGCUAUGCGUUCUAUUAGCUAGUUGGUAUGGUAACGGCAUACCAAGGCUACGAUAGAUAGGGGUCCUGAGAGGGAGAUCCCCCACACUGGUACUGAGACACGGACCAGACUCCUACGGGAGGCAGCAGUGAGGAAUAUUGGACAAUGGAGGCAACUCUGAUCCAGCCAUGCCGCGUGCAGGAAGACUGCCCUAUGGGUUGUAAACUGCUUUUAUAGAGGAAGAAACCCCCCGACGUGUCGGGUCUGACGGUACUCUACGAAUAAGGAUCGGCUAACUCCGUGCCAGCAGCCGCGGUAAUACGGAGGAUCCAAGCGUUAUCCGGAAUCAUUGGGU
rnacentral:rRNA from 1 species